CCUAAAUACACACCAUUAUAGCUCUCUCUCUCAACUAUCUUGCAAAUGAAACAAGCCUUGUUUAUCACGCCCCGCCCCAUGAUCCCAACCUGACACACUCUACAGCUAGCCAUGUGAUUGGACGCUGCCUCUGUCAAUCAUCGCCAUGUAAACACUUGGGCUCUUCGCCAGCUCUAUAAAACCAAUUAUAGAGCAGGGAGGUUGAACUGUUUCAAGCCCCCUCUCUUCUUCUUUUCUUGAAUGAUCAAAACAGGCAGAGAAUUUGUGCAGGGCAGUUUCAAGGCCGCUCCUGAGUCCUGAUUCACACAGACGGAUACACACCUGAUUAUUGCUCUAUCGGCUCAGAGACUGCAGGCCGAACUUCUUUUAAUCGCCGCAGAUGAGAGACACGGCUUACCGGUGUUCGUUUGUUUUGUUUGUUUGUUUAAUUAAAUUAUUUUUGCCUGUGUGCUGAACUGGGCUACGUGAUUGAGUUUUGUGUAUUUAAACAACAUGCAAUUCAGGAACUAGAAUUAAAAACUUAUUUUUUAAAAGAAUUUUCCAGCAGUGCGGUGGGUGAGUGAAUCUCUCCCAGGACCCUGUCCUGUUUUAAUUAGCUUUUUAUUUAUUCUACACAGGCACUUAAGCUAUUAAUUGCUCAAUUAUAGCUUUAUAACAGCUUUUUUUUUUUUUUUUUUUUGCAGAGUUUGUUUAGUUUGACGCCGAGUUUUACGCUCUUGUAAGAUCUUCAGACUCGCUACAUGAUAGCUAUAAUGCUAAAUUAGCAAGUUUUGAAAACAAAACAAUAAAAAAACAAAACAAAAACAUGGCGCCUGGCUCUGUGUGUGUGUGUGUGUGUGUCUUUCCAGUGUAAUAAGGUAAGCGAUGUUUGUGAUCUGUUUGAGGAUACAUUUGUACAGAAUUGACACUUUAAAAAAAAAAAGUAGAGGGAAGAGAUGCGUGUCGAUAAUUGGAUUGGUAUAUAUUAGAUUAUUAAAUUGUUGAUUUUAUUUAUUUAUUUUUUUCAAGAAAGUGGUGCGGUUUCAAACUGCCCUCUGUCGCGCGCCCAGUUGACUGUGAGGCGGUUUCAAGUCUUCCUUCUUUCUGUGGGUAGGUAGGGGUGUGUGUGUGUGUGUGUGUGUGUGUGUGUGUGUAAAGUGAAGGGAAAGAAAGCACCAUGCAACAUGUUGACGGUGGGGUGGGGGGGUUCUUUUCUGCUUUUUUCUCCUUCUCCCUGAGUUCGGGCGAAUAUAAUGUCUUUCAUGCAAAGAUCUGCGCUUUGGAUUGUCUGUAUUUUUUUUUCUGUUUUGUCUGUCUGUGUGUCUCCCCCUCGGAGGCGGAAUGUGAGCUCCUCACCGUGGGAAUGUAGCCGGUUAUUCCUGAAGGUUCCCGGCUGCCUGCCCUGGAUAAGUUAUUAAUGACCGACGAAACAGCAUGACUGAGAGACGCCUUUGUUCUGGGUGCUGAGGCGCUCGAGGGUUGUUGUUUUUUUGUUCUUGUUUUGGACGCGUUUUUUUUUUUUUUUUUUUUUAUUCGCUCCUGACAAUCCCUGACUGCUCUUGUUAAGGUGGGUGAUGAAAUGCAUUUCAUGCAAAUAAACAAACAUUUAACACCAUAUUCCUGUUUUUUGUUGUCUUUCUAUUCUGCACUGCAUCACAGCAUGCUCGGGAAUGGGCUCGCGCUUGGCUUUUAGCGUCCCUGAAGCAGCACGCGCAACAAAACACCACCACAACACUGACUCCAGGCUAUUAUUAUUAUUAUUAUUAUUAUUAUUUCUUUAACAGAAAUUAAUUCAUCACGAAUUACUGUCUAGCGGUUUAGUUUGGCACCCAUUCAUUUUCUCACAUUUUAAAUAUUUCCAAGGUGUGGUUUGAUGGAUUUUUUUUUUUUUUAAAUACUUAAUGGUGAGCAUAAAUAAACGUUUGUGUUGCUUUGUAUCUAAGCACUAGCGUUGGACUAAAAGCAUGAUUAGGAAAGGGCUAAAUAAAAUUUCUAUUCCCACCAGUAUUUCUAAAUCAGUCUACACAUGCUUUCAUUUUAAUAAAUAACACACUGCCAUAUUUAUCUUGCAGCUAUAGCCAAUAAUUGUGAUGUAGGCUACAUCUGCUUAAAUACUCAUGUCAUUGCACUAAUAGCCUAAUCAAUGCAUAGUCCUGCUACCACAGUGUACAUUAUUUUUAUGUAUUUUAGUUUUAUAAAGAUUUUAUUUUGACUUGC